AUGCUUAACACAUGCAAGUCGAACGUUGUUUUCGGGUGUACCACCGCCCCCGAUCCGGAUCCUGCCUCGCCUUUGCUCGUUCCGCCAAAUGCCCUGACAAGAGUGAGAACAGUUGGAAACAAAGUGGCAAACGGGUGCGUAAUGCGUGGGAAUCUGCCAAACAGCUUGGGCCAAAUCCUGAAUAAACUUGCGAACUUCGCAAAGGAAAGCUAAAAAGCGCUGUUUGAUGAGCCUGCGUAGUAUUAGGUAGUUGGUUGGGUAAAGGCUGACCAAGCCGCAGAUGCUUAGCUGGUCUUUUCGGACGAUCAGCCACACUGGGACUGAGACACGGCCCAGACUCCUACGGGAGGCAGCAGUGGGGAAUAUUGGACAAUGGGCUCAAGCCUGAUCCAGCAAUAUCGCGUGAGUGUGAAAAACGUGCCAAGCGAGGAAGAAGGGCAAGGCCGCUUGUAAAGCUCUUUCGUCGAGUUUGGAUUAUGACGGGACUCGAAAAAGAAGCCCCGGCUAACUCCGUGCCAGCAGCCGCGGUAAGACGGGGGGGGCAAGUGUUAUUCGGAAUGACUGGGCGUAAAGGGCACGUAGGCGGUGAAUCGGGGUUGGAAGUUAAAGGCGCCGGCUCAACUGGCGGAAUGCUUUCAAAACCAAUUCACUUGAGUGGGAUAGAGGAGAGUGGAAUUUCGUGUGUAGGGAUGGAAUCCGGAGAUAUACGAAGGAACGCCGAAAUAGCGAAGGCAGCUUUCUGGGUCUCUACUGACGCUGAGGUGCGAAAGCUUGGGGAGCAAACAGGAUUAGAUACCCUGGUAGUCCAUGCCGUAAACGAUGAGUGUUACGUCCUUGGUCUGCUGCAACGGGAUCGGGAGCCCAGCUAACGCGUUAAACACUCCGCCUGGGGAGUACGGUCGCAAGACUGAAACUCAAAGGAAUUGACGGGGGCCUGCACAAGCGGUGGAGCAUGUGGUUUAAUUCGAUACAACGCGCAAAACCUUACCAGCCUUUGACAUAUGAACACUUGACAUAUGAACACUAUACAUAUGAACAAGUGUGCUUGUCCUUAACGGGAUGAAACGAAAAUUCAUACAGGUGCUGCAUGGCUGUCGUCAGCUCGUGUCGUGAGAGACGUUUCUGGUUAACUCCUAUAACGAGCGAAACCCUCGUUUUGUGUUGCUAAGACAUCCAUAGGUGUUGCACUCACAAAAGACAGCCUACGUCUACUUAUGGAGGAAGGUGGGGAUGACGUCAAGUCCGCAUGGCCCUUAUGGGCUGGGCUACACACGUGCUACAAUGGCAAUUACAAUAGGAAGCAAGGCCGUAAGGCGGAGCGAAUCCGGAAAGAUUGCCUCAGUUCGGAUUGUUCUCUGCAACUCGAGAACAUGAAGUUGGAAUCGCUAGUAAUCGCGGAUCAGCAUGUCGCGGUGAAUAUGUACCCGGGCCCCGUACACACCGCCCGUCACACCCUGGGAAUUGGUUUCGCCCGAAGCAUCGACCAAGGAUCGCCCAUUACUAAAGUAUUCCACGCCUAGUUGAGUGUGGCCCACUCCGGUUUGGUGGUCUUCUUGGCGCAUAUCACGGUUGGGUCAGUGACUGG
rnacentral:rRNA from 1 species